rnacentral:rRNA from 1 species
UACGUAGGGGGCAAGCGUUGUUCGGAAUUACUGGGCGUAAAGCGCACGUAGGCGGCUUUGUAAGUUAGAGGUGAAAGCCCGGAGCUCAACUCCGGAAUUGCCUUUAAGACUGCAUCGCUUGAAUCCGGGAGAGGUGAGUGGAAUUCCGAGUGUAGAGGUGAAAUUCGUAGAUAUUCGGAAGAACACCAGUGGCGAAGGCGGCUCACUGGACCGGUAUUGACGCUGAGGUGCGAAAGCGUGGGGAGCAAACAGG